AGUAAAUACAGCAGAAUAAUUAUGACAAAUAUACUUGAACAGCAUUAAUUAUCUACAAGUAAAAUAAAAGUUUUCUUUCCAGUUCUGGAAAAGUAAGAGCUAUGUUUCUGUUGAUUCAAAUAAAAUGUAAAUAUUCCCCCCAGAAGGGAUUGUGCUUUUUAAAGGCACCUCCCUGGCUGGACAGAUGGAUCCAGCAGCAGUCUGAUGAGAUUUACUUUAGCUUUACCAUACUUAUCCUCAUGUAUUUGAAGUUAAAACACUUGUCCAGGGAUGAGCUGGUGUCAGUAUUUAUUUAAGAGAGAAAUACCUAGACCUUUUUUCUGCUUUAGCAAAUGGAUAAUUGUCUGAUGUAUUGGUGUCAUGCUUGUUUCAUUAACAGGUAGAGUAACUUUUAGAACAGGCCUACCAGGACUCCCUGGACAGCCAGGGUGUGCAGGACCUCCAGGACCUCCAGGAGACAUGGGCAUGAAAGGUGAUGAAGCUUGCGUGUGUACUGAUUGCAGCUAUAUUCCAGGAACACCUGGUCUUCCUGGUUCUCCUGGGCCACGUGGCCAGGAUGGCAUCCCUGGUAAAUGAUCUCAGUGUUCCUCAUGGGAUAAUAGAAAAUGCUAGUACUUUUAACAUGAGAAUCAGGACUGGUAUGAGCAUGUCUGCAGCAUGUAAUAUUCUGGGUCCCUG
rnacentral:lncRNA from 1 species